rnacentral:rRNA from 1 species
UAAUAGUUCUGUAACAAAACAAUUCGCCAGAAAACUACUAGCAACAGCUUAAAACUCAAAGGACUUGGCGGUGCUUUAUAUCCCUCUAGAGGAGCCUGUUCUAUAAUCGAUAAACCCCGAUAAACCUCACCAUCCCUUGCUAAUACAGUCUAUAUACCGCCAUCUUCAGCAAACAAAG